rnacentral:rRNA from 1 species
GACGAACGCUGGCGGCGUGCUUAACACAUGCAAGUCGAACGGAAAGGCCCUGCUUUUGUGGGGUGCUCGAGUGGCGAACGGGUGAGUAACACGUGAGUAACCUGCCCUUGACGUUGGGAUAACUUCAGGAAACUGGGGCUAAUACCGGAUAGGAGCUCCUGCUGCAUGGUGGUGGUUGGAAAGUUUCGGCGGUUGGGGAUGGACUCGCGGCUUAUCAGCUUGUUGGUGGGGUAGUGGCUUACCAAGGGUUUGACGGGUAGCCUGCAUGGGAGGGUGAACGGCCACCUGGGGCCUGAGAGACGGACCAGACUGCUACGGGAGGCAGCAGUGGGGAAUAUUGCACAGUGAGCGGAAGCCUGAUGCAGAGGUGUCGCGAGCGGGAUGACGGCCUUCGGGUUGUAAACCGCUUUCGCCUGUGACGAAGCGUGAGUGACGGUAAUGGGUAAAGAAGCACCGGCUAACUACGUG